rnacentral:lncRNA from 1 species
AUGGCAGAGGCAUGGGACAUAGGUUUAAACCAUCCACAUUCUUGGGAAGAGGAAAUGGUGGAGACUGAAGGGAACGCUUGCAUUUCUCUCCUAGUAGAGGAGGUUUCUCAGCACAAGCAGGGCCCUGCAUGCUGCUGGUGCUGCUACAGCAGACAGCCCUUCUGCAAGGAAACACAGCUCCGUCCCGUCCUGCCCCAUCCCCGCUGCCCGAGGAGCACAGGGACACUCCAGUGGGGCCCCUCCUGCACCCCAGGUGGAACCCUGAGACUCGGGGAACUUUGUCACUUAUUUCCUUGGAGCCGAUAUUCCACCACCGGCACCUGGCACGGUGCAGGCUGGGGCACGUGUCCACACCGCUGCCAUCCCGUCCCUCCCAUGCUGCUUGUGAAAACACAAAUAUUUUUAGGUACUUGUUCUCUCGAAGCGUUUUGGAACAUUUCCAUCUCUUUCCUUGCACCUGUGUGGUUUUUAUUUUCCUCCCCAGCAAAGCCCCGUGACGCCGUUAUCUGGAGGCAGAAGCGCGGUGCUGAGCAGGCAGAUGCUGCGGGAGAGGUUUCCCAAGCAACAGUAACCAGGGGGGGUGCAGCCCCAGCCCGGCUCCCCCCGCACCCACUCGUGAGUCCCCUCGCUCUGCGCUCUCAGCACUCCCGCUCUCAGCAGGGCCGCCUGCAGCAGCCACGCAGCUCCCAGCAGUGGGACACGCCGUGGAUGCACGCUCCGAGAUGCCGCAGAGCCUAUUUCCUACACCAGCUUGCGCCUUGCUCCCAUCCUCCUCCCCCAGCCUGCUUUCCUGAGGCUGUGUCACUUGGUGACUGCUCGGUGACAGCAGCAGGUUUAUCAAUGCCGUGCAGAGCUGCGCCUCAAAUAACUCCUGGAGAUGGGUGUGGGAAUCCUCUACCCACCUGCGGCUCUGCACCCCAAGACCCUCCCGGCCCCACAGAGCACAGCAGGAGGCACUGCCCCAGGAGCUCACAGCUGGAGGGCACCCAGCCCUCACCCGGUGCUGCUGUAGCGAUGUGGGUGCAGCGUGGAGCCAGCACGGUGGGGCAGGCAGUGCGCCUCAACUGCGGCCAGCUGACCCCCCCGCCACUGGACGAGGCGGGAGCAAGCAGCACGGGAAGGGGGGUUCUUUGGGGUUUUCACCAGAGGGCGGUGCAGAGAACAAUUCUACAUUAUAGAGGUCUUCUCACCCUCUCCAUUCUGACCAAACUCAGGUCUCCAUUGCUGAUCCCGUCCUUGGGAACCACGUCUGUCUCAAGGCAUCCGCCUCAGCCCAGCUGUUUCCACCUCAGUAGCUGCUCAAAAAGACUCAAAGGCUUCGCAUCAUCUCUGCACAGGGUAGGAGUGACAGAAACCUUGUCAAAAGGGAAUAAGCGAUCAGGAAACAGCAGCGGUUGCGUGGAAGUUUUGUAG